rnacentral:lncRNA from 1 species
CUUAUGUUAAUCACUUCCAGGAAAUAGAGAAUUAUAUAAAUACUGUCAUAGUUCUGCAUCUGUGAGGACAGCAUUAGGCAAUACCACAACAGUAACCCAUUAUUUUCACAUGAGGUAGUGAUUUUGUACUGUGUGCUUUCAGAAACACGCUGAGUUAAUCACCAGUCAUGACUGCCAACAGCCAGCACACAUUUCCCUGAAAUGGGAAGGGGAAACUCUGCAGCUCUGUUUAACCAAAUGAACAGGCCACAGGAAAUCAGUGUGAGGAAAGCACGGAGUUUUGCUCAGCCU